UCAUGUCCAUGGAGCAUCACAGAUAUCAUUGCAGAAAUUACAGUAAACAUGCAAGGAAAGCAGACAGUCAUACAACAUAUCUAUCGGGAAGGUAACAAGUUAGCGGAUUAUCUAGCAAAUCAUGCCAUAAACAAUGGUAAUUGCAGCUAUCAAAAUUUUAAGAACAUGCAAGUGGAAGGCAGAAAGAUCAUAAACAGUGAUAAAUUAAG
rnacentral:lncRNA from 1 species